rnacentral:rRNA from 1 species
AACGAACGCUGGCGGCAUGCCUAACACAUGCAAGUCGAACGAGACCUUCGGGUCUAGUGGCGCACGGGUGCGUAACGCGUGGGAACCUGCCCUUAGGUUCGGAAUAACUCCCCGAAAGGGGUGCUAAUACCGGAUAAUGUCUUCGGACCAAAGAUUUAUCGCCUUUGGAUGGGCCCGCGUUGGAUUAGCUAGUUGGUAGGGUAAAAGCCUACCAAGGCGACGAUCCAUAGCUGGUCUGAGAGGAUGAUCAGCCACACUGGGGCUGAGACACGGCCCAGACUCCUACGGGAGGCAGCAGUGGGGAAUAUUGGACAAUGGGCGAAAGCCUGAUCCAGCAAUGCCGCGUGAGUGAUGAAGGCCUUGGGGUUGUAAAGCUCUUUUACCCGGGAUGAUAAUGACAGUACCGGGAGAAUAAGCUCCGGCUAACUCCGUG